UCUUGGUCAUUUAGAGGAAGUAAAAGUCGUAACAAGGUUUCCGUAGGUGAACCUGCGGAAGGAUCAUUAAAGAAAUUUAAUAACUUUGAAAAUGGAUUUUUUUGUUUUGGCAAGAGCAUGAGAGCUUUUACUGGGCAAGAAGACAAGAGAUGGAGAGUCCAGCCGGGCCUGCGCUUAAGUGCGCGGUCUUGCUAGGCUUGUAAGUUUCUUUCUUGCUAUUCCAAACGGUGAGAGAUUUCUGUGCUUUUGUUAUAGGACAAUUAAAACCGUUUCAAUACAACACACUGUGGAGUUUUCAUAUCUUUGCAACUUUUUCUUUGGGCAUUCGAGCAAUCGGGGCCCAGAGGUAACAAACACAAACAAUUUUAUCUAUUCAUUAAAUUUUUGUCAAAAACAAGAAUUUUCGUAACUGGAAAUUUUAAAAUAUUAAAAACUUUCAACAACGGAUCUCUUGGUUCUCGCAUCGAUGAAGAACGCAGCGAAAUGCGAUACGUAAUGUGAAUUGCAGAAUUCCGUGAAUCAUCGAAUCUUUGAACGCACAUUGCGCCCCUUGGUAUUCCAGGGGGCAUGCCUGUUUGAGCGUCAUUUCCUUCUCAAACAUUCUGUUUGGUAGUGAGUGAUACUCUUUGGAGUUAACUUGAAAUUGCUGGCCUUUUCAUUGGAUGUUUUUUUUCCAAAGAGAGGUUUCUCUGCGUGCUUGAGGUAUAAUGCAAGUACGGUCGUUUUAGGUUUUACCAACUGCGGCUAAUCUUUUUUUAUACUGAGCGUAUUGGAACGUUAUCGAUAAGAAGAGAGCGUCUAGGCGAACAAUGUUCUUAAAGUUUGACCUCAAAUCAGGUAGGAGUACCCGCUGAACUUAAGCAUAUCAAUAAGCGGAG
rnacentral:rRNA from 1 species